rnacentral:lncRNA from 1 species
CACCAGGUUCUGUUGUGAGCCUCUUCCCACCAGCAGGAUGAAGGUGUGGGCUCCGACUCUGAGCCUGGGAAAUCAAGUGCUCCUAACCCGGAGUCAGGGCCCUGAGGACUUUCUGUAGGGUGCGCCGCAGGUAAGGGCCUCUGCGCCCCUGGAGGGGGCACCUGCAGGGUGGCAGCUGGGCUCGUCCAUCUCCCAGAGGUCAAGGUGUCCAGCCCCUCCCGCCAGCUACCCCCUUCGAGAACCCCAUCCCCGAGGAAUGAGCGUGGAGGCCAUGCUCCCAGGAGCGCCCACCAGUGAGGCCCUGUGUGGUGAGUCUGGCUCUGUGGCAAGAGAGCGACUUCAGGGCCCGCAGUAGCCUCUGGCUCUGCCACGUGAGGCCCCUGUGGGGGCGGGCACUGGCAUAGCCUGCUGUACAAGUGCCCAGGUGAGCAGGCGGUUCUGGCCAAGCCCCGCCCGGGCUCCCCGGGGAAGGGCAGGCCAGCUCUGAGCGCGUCCCUCAGGAACACCCUCACCCGGCCUGUGGAGGCCGUGUUGACCACCGUGGUGUGGACAAGGCUGGCAGGUGUGGGCCCGUCACCUGAUCCGUCCUUCAGACAGAGCCUGGCUGCUGCUGUAGGCAGGGUCCAGGUCCCUGCUCUGGGAUGCGCGUUCUGGGCCGCAGAGUCUGUCUGACAACUGUUACCAUGGUGACCCCGUGUUGACCACUCACCAUGUGGAAGGCAUUGUGCUGAGCGCGGCUGUCCGUGAUGUCACUGAAUCCUCAAGUGACCUGGAGCCAUGUUUGUGUUCCACUCCUGUGGAUGCUCAGGGGCGAGGGACCUGCCUGGGACACAGCGGGAAGAUGGGGAGCCCAGGCUGUGGCACCAGGCACGGCUGGCGACCCCACACUGAGCCUUGCCUGCUUCGCAGUGACCAGGUCCCUCUCUACUCAGGGUCUCUGAGCCACUGCGGGCUCAGGCAGGCUCAGCCUUGGGCUUGGCACAUGCGGGCGGCCGGUAAAUAUCUGCUGAGUGAGCCAACCCCGUGUCCUCUCGGCCCGGCAAGGUCUGGCCCGGAGCCUCGCCGCUGUUUCCUUCAUCAAGUCCUCCCAGCCCUGCUCCGGCCCGAGGAGAAGAGAAGGGUGAGCUCACCUGUCCACCACGCCCCAGGGCCUCAGCAGGUGUGGCUCACCAGGUGACACUUCUGUGCACAACAUGGGCGGAAACAACCGCUCGGUCCCGAGGCGGCCACAGGAGGCAGGAGCCAGGCCUUGUGGUGGCCCGUCCUUCAACAAGCUCGCCUGCUGACGGCCCCCAUCAUCCACCCAAGGGCCACCUCUCUGCCGGGCAGUGACCCCGACCUCAGAUCAGACUGAGCUUGUGCUGGCAGGCAGUGCCUGGGGGAUCCUCUGCUGGGAGGUGUGGGUGACUGGUUUCCUCUGGCCCCAGGGAGCCACCGGAGGUGUGCGCCUCAGCCUCCCAGGGCCCCACUGCCCUGCGCCCUGAGUGUCCGCAGCCCUGAGCUGCCCACCGACACAGCCCCUUCCCUGACGCCCCCCACCCCCCACCAGGGCUUUCUGGGAUCACUUGGCCCCGAUCGGCUUAUGGGAGCCAAACUGAGCCCUCUGCACAGGCGGGAAGUGGCAGAGAAGGAGCGUCCCCUCUUCUCCAGCCCCCCGCCAGGCAGAGGGAGCCCAGAGGCCCAGGGUGGUGCCAGGCCAGGCCUCGAAGUCCCAGCAGAGUGUGAGGCAGGCCCCUAUCGCCCCGGACCUCCCCGGGCCUCUCCACCGUGGGCUCUGCAGACGGGGUCCCGACUGAGAAGCUCAGCUGAACUCGUGACCAGACCUGCUGCAUCGUUCACUUUUAAAGCGUUUAAACAUAAAGGACCCAGCUGGAGACACGGUCCCCUCAGCCCAUCUCGGCCGUGGAAAAUGGGAAGCUGCCCAGGCCCCAGACAGCCCCCCGUCGGAGCCCUGGGACACAGGGGGCUGCCAGAUUCCAGGAAGGAGCCGUGUGACCGCCGUCCCGGUGACACUCCUGGCCCCGU